AUUGAACGCUGGCGGCAGGCCUAACACAUGCAAGUCGAACGCGUGGCGCACGGGUGAGUAAUGUCUGGGAAACUUCCCGAUGGCGGGGGAUAACUACUUUAAACGGUAGCUAAUACCGCAUACCCUAUGAUGUGCCCAGAUGGGAUUAGCUCGUUGGUGGGGUAACGGCUCACCAAGGCGACGAUCCCUAGCUGGUCUGAGAGGAUGACCAGCCACACUGGAACUGAGACACGGUCCAGACUCCUACGGGAGGCAGCAGUGGGGAAUAUUGCACAAUGGGCGAAAGCCUGAUACAGCCAUGCCGCGUGUAUGAAGAAGGCCUUCGGGUUGUAAAGUACUUUCAGCGGGGAGGCGUUACCCGCAGAAGAAGCACCGGCUAACUCCGUGCCAGCAGCCGCGGUAAUUC
rnacentral:rRNA from 1 species